GCACUGGUGGUUCAGUGGUAAAAUUCUCACCUUCCAUGCGGGAGACCCAGGUUCGAGUUCUGCCAAUGCA
rnacentral:tRNA from 1 species